AUUGAACGCUGGCGGAAUGCUUUACACAUGCAAGUCGAACGGUAGAGGGGGCAACCCCUCGAGAGUGGCGAACGGGUGAGUAAUAUAUCGGAACGUGCCCAGUCGUGGGGGAUAACGUAGCGAAAGUUACGCUAAUACCGCAUACGAUCUAAGGAUGAAAGCGGGGGAUCGCAAGGCCUCGCGCGAUUGGAGCGGCCGAUAUUAGAUUAGGUAGUUGGUGGGGUAAAGGCUCACCAAGCCAACGAUCUGUAGCUGGUCUGAGAGGACGACCAGCCACACUGGAACUGAGACACGGUCCAGACUCCUACGGGAGGCAGCAGUGGGGAAUUUUGGACAAUGGACGCAAGUCUGAUCCAGCCAUUCCGCGUGCAGGAUGAAGGCCCUCGGGUUGUAAACUGCUUUUGUACGGAACGAAAAGGUCUCUCUUAAUACGGGGGACUCAUGACGGUACCGUAAGAAUAAGCACCGGCUAACUACGUGCCAGCCGCCGCAGUAACAC
rnacentral:rRNA from 1 species